UCUCCCCAAACCAAUUUAUUUUCUUUGUGGGCUCCUGGCUCAAGACCAACAAGGAGGCAAGCUGUGUGGCAUCCCUCUUAAUCUUUAGUGGCAUCAUUGCUGCUGACUUGCCCGAGAUGAGCAAGAAAAAAUGUGAGCUAGUCAAGGCCAUGAGGUGCAUGCUUGGUGAUCAGAGUAUUCAGGUGAAGAAGGCUGUCCUCCAUUUCAGCAGGACACUGCUCAAUGUGCAGGGCCUGGAUGACUGGGCUGGGACUUAGUGGCCUAUAUUUUCAAGCAGUCCAGCUUGUCUAGCAGCCAAAUGGUAAGAUAAAUUGAAGCUGGAGACUUGGUGCUGUUGUCCUAGCA